rnacentral:rRNA from 1 species
AACGAACGCUGGCGGCAGGCCUAACACAUGCAAGUCGAACGAUGUAGCAAUACAUAGUGGCGCACGGGUGAGUAACGCGUGGGAAUGUACCAUUUGGUGGGGAAUAACUCCGGGAAACUGGAGCUAAUACCGCAUACGCCCUUCGGGGGAAAGAUUUAUCGCCAAAUGAUCAGCCCGCGUGAGAUUAGAUAGUUGGUGGGGUAAUGGCCUACCAAGUCGACGAUCUCUAGCUGGUCUUAGAGGAUGACCAGCCACACUGGAACUGAGACACGGUCCAGACUCCUACGGGAGGCAGCAGUGGGGAAUAUUGGGCAAUGGACGAAAGUCUGACCCAGCCAUGCCGCGUGAAUGAUGAAGGCUUUAGGGUUGUAAAGUUCUUUCGCCGAUGAAGAUAAUGACGGUAGUCGGAGAAGAAGCCCCGGCUAACUUCGUGCCAGCCGCCGCGGUAAAAC